AGGAGGAAAAGAAAGUAAAAACGAUUCCCCAAGUAGCGGCGAGCGAACAGGGAAAAGCCUAAACCGUGCCAGUGUCAAGCGGACAGCGUUGCUGGCACGGGGUUGCGGGACUUCCAUUAACGGAUUGUCAUAAUGUUUAAUCUGUAUAUGUGUAAGUGGAAUCAGCUGGGAAGCUGAACCAAAGAAGGUGAAAGUCCUGUAGAACGUAAAGCAUAUAUGGAGACUGGAAGCACCCGAGUAGCGUCAGGCACGAGGAAUCUGGCGUGAAUCAGCGUGGACCAAAUCACGUAAGGCUAAAUACUGUUGUUGACCGAUAGUGAAGAGUACCGUGAGGGAAAGGUGAAAAGAACCCUGAGCAAGGGAGUGAAACAGAAUUUGAAACCGUGUGCUUACAAACGGUAGGAGCACAUUAUGUGUGACUGCGUGGAUUUUGGUUAAUCAUCCUGCGAGUUAUGGCUGGUGGCAAGGUUAAUAGACGGAGCCGAAGGGAAACCAAGUCUUAAUAGGGCGUCAAGUCGCCAGUCAUAGACGCGAAACCUAGUGAUCUAGGCCUGUCCAGGCUGAAGCUGAGGUAAGACUCAGUGGAGGGCCGAACUCACCGCCGUUGAAAAGUUGGGAGAUGAGAUAGGUCUAGGGGUGAAAAGCCAAUCGAACUAGGAGAUAGCUCGUUCUCUCCGAAAUGCAUUUAGGUGCAGCCUCGGUUGAAGAUAUGCGGGGGUAGAGCACUGUAUGGCCUAGGGGGCGUAUAGCUUACCGAAGUCAAGCAAACUGCGAAUACCGUAUAUUGUUUACCGGGAGUGAGUCUACGGAUGACAAGGUCCGUGGACGAGAGGGGAACAGCCCAGACCGCCGGCUAAGGUCCCAAAUCAUGUCUAAGUGGGAAAGGAGGUGGAUAUUCACAGACAACCAGGAGGUUGGCUUAGAAGCAGCCAUACCUUGAAAGAGUGCGUAAUAGCUCACUGGUCGAGAGUAUCUGCGCCGAAGAUAUAACGGGGCUAAGACAUGAACCGAAGCCGCGGAAGCGUGCUAGGCACGUUUGGUAGGAGAGCGUUCUGUAGGCUGUAGAAGGUGUCCUGAAAGGGAUGCUGGAGGUAUCAGAAGUGAGAAUGCAGGAAUGAGUAGCGAGAAGGAGGGCGAGAAUCCCUCCGGCCGGAAGUCCAAGGUUUCCAGGGGAAGGUUUGUCCGCCCUGGGGGAGUCGGGACCUAAGCAUAAGCAGAGCUGCGAAGGCGAAUGGAAAACAGGUUAAUAUUCCUGUACCGCUGUGUACUGACUGAGAGAUGGAGUGACGCAGGAAGGUAUGCGGGAAGGCUGACGGAAUAGCCUUUCUAAGGGUGAAGCGUGGACAUAUAGGCAAAUCCGUAUGUUUAAACGUGAGGCCUGACGGGUAAGUACCUUAGGGUAUAAGCCGCAGAUCCUACACUGCCGGGAAAAACUUCUAUUUAGGGAAGCAGCGCCCGUACUGUAAACCGACACAGGUGGACAGAGUGAGAAACUUAAGGCCGACAGGAUAACUCUGGCUAAGGAACUCUGCAAAAUAGCCCCGUAACUUCGGGAGAAGGGGUGCCCGUGGUACCUGAAGGGGGAGACACCCGGAGGGGAAACGGGCCGCAGUGAAGAGUCCCAAGCAACUGUUUACCAAAAACACAGGUCUAUGCUAAGCUGAAAGGCGACGUAUAUGGGCUGACACCUGCCCAGUGCCGGAAGGUUAAGAGGAGGAUUGAGAGAUCCGAAUUGAAGCCCCGGUGAACGGCGGCCGUAACUAUAACGGUCCUAAGGUAGCGAAAUUCCUUGUCGGGU
rnacentral:rRNA from 1 species